rnacentral:rRNA from 1 species
UAGAGUUUGAUCCUGGCUCAGGAUGAACGCUGACAGAAUGCUUAACACAUGCAAGUCGAUUCUAUUUACCUUCGGGUAUUGAGGAUGGCGGACGGGUGAGUAACGCGUAAGGAACUUGCCUCUUGGACUGGGACAACUGUUGGAAACGACAGCUAAUACCGGAUAUUAUGAGAUUCUCGCAUGAGAAACUUAUGAAAGCUAUAUGCGCCAAGAGAGAGCCUUGCGUUCCAUUAGCUAGUUGGUGGGGUAAUGGCCCACCAAGGCGACGAUGGAUAGCCGGCCUGAGAGGGUGAACGGCCACAAGGGGACUGAGACACGGCCCUUACUCCUACGGGAGGCAGCAGUGGGGAAUAUUGGACAAUGGGCCACAAGCCUGAUCCAGCAAUUCUGUGUGCACGAUGAAGGUCUUCGGAUUGUAAAGUGCUUUCAGUUGGGAAGAAGAAAGUGACGGUACCAACAGAAGAAGCGACGGCUAAAUACGUGCCAGCAGCCGCGGUAAUACGUAUGUCGCAAGCGUUAUCCGGAUUUAUUGGGCGUAAAGCGCGUCUAGGCGGAAAAAUAAGUCUGAUGUUAAAAUGCGGGGCUCAACUCCGUAUUGCGUUGGAAACUGUUUUUCUAGAGUACUGGAGAGGUGGGCGGAACUACAAGUGUAGAGGUGAAAUUCGUAGAUAUUUGUAGGAAUGCCGAUGGAGAAGUCAGCUCACUGGACAGAUACUGACGCUGAAGCGCGAAAGCGUGGGGAGCAAACAGGAUUAGAUACCCUGGUAGUCCACGCCGUA